UCCAAGAGGUUUGCAUUUAAGGAGAAAAG
rnacentral:piRNA from 1 species